rnacentral:rRNA from 1 species
UGGCGGCGUGCUAAUACAUGCAAGUCGAACGAGGUUGCCUUUGUAGCAAUACGAGGGCAGUCCUAGUGGCGAAUGGGUGAGUAACACGUAGGCGACCUGCCCCGAAGAGGGGGAUAACAGUCCGAAAGGACUGCUAAUACCCCGUACCCUCCGGGGGGUUAGAGACCCCCGGCGGAAAGCUGCGCGCAAGCGUGGCGCUUUGGGAGGGGCCUGCGUCCCAUCAGCUAGUUGGUAGGGUAACGGCCUACCAAGGCGACGACGGGUAGGGGGCCUGAGAGGGUGGUCCCCCACACUGGCACUGAAACACGGGCCAGACACCUACGGGUGGCAGCAGUAGGGAAUAUUGCACAAUGGGCGAAAGCCUGAUGCAGCAACGCCGCGUGCGCGAUGAAGGCCUUCGGGUCGUAAAGCGCUUUUCGGGGGGAUGAGGAAGGACAGUACCCCCGGAAUAAGUCUCGGCUAACUACGUGCCAGCAGCCGCGGUAAAACGCAGGAGGCUAGCGUUAUCCGGAUUCACUGGGCGUAAAGCGCGUGUAGGCGGUCCGGUAAGUCGGGCGUGAAAUCUCUUGGCUCAACUGGGAGAGGCCGUCCGAAACUACCGGACUCGAGGGCAGUAGAGGGAGGUGGAAUUCCGGGUGUAGCGGUGAAAUGCGUAGAUAUCCGGAGGAACACCUGUGGCGAAAGCGGCCUCCUGGACUGCCCCUGACGCUCAGACGCGAAAGCUAGGGGAGCGAACGGGAUUAGAAACCCCGGUAGUCCUAGCUGUAAACGAUGCGGACUUGGUGUUGGUGGCGUAAAAUCCAUCCGUGCCGAAGCUAACGCGAUAAGUCCGCCGCCUGGGGACUACGGCCGCAAGGUUAAAACUCAAAGGAAUUGACGG